rnacentral:rRNA from 1 species
UGAGGAGGCGGGGACCGUGGCGGUGUAGGUAGAAGCAGUGGUGGAGGAGGAGGAUGAGGUAGCCAACACUGUUUUUUAUGUUUUGUUUUUUUUAAAUUGUGGUAGCCCGCAAAAUAUUGGGACAUAUAAAAAAAGACAACUCUGUUCCACAGAGUAGCUGUUGACAUUAUAGUUGCGCAGGCACUUUGUUGACUCUAGAGAACCUCGGGCCAAUCGCACAUCCCCGUGGCGGCGACUUUACAUGCAGACGUCAUCCAUAUCAACUUUCGAUGCCAGUUUCUGCGCCUGCCAUGGAGAGCACGGGUAACGGGGAAUCAGGGUUCCAUUUCGUACAGGGACCCUGAGAAAUGGCUACCACAUGCAAGGAAGGCAGCAGGCACGCAAAUGACCCACUCCUGACGCGGGAAGGUAGUGAUGACAAAUAACAAUACAGGACUCUUUAGAGGCCCUGUAAUUGUAAUGAGUCCACUUGAAAUCCUUUAACUGUCAUCAAUUGGAGGGAAGGCUGGUGCAGAGCCACUGACCCGUGCAUGCUGCAGCUGAAACUCCACUA